GAUGGCGACCGGCGCACGGGUGAGUAACACGUAUCCAACCUUCCGUUUACUCGGGGAUAGCCUUUCGAAAGAAAGAUUAAUACCCGAUGGUUUCAGGAUUUUGCAUGAAAACUUGAAUAAAGAUUAAUCGGUAAACGAUGGGGAUGCGUUCCAUUAGGUAGUAGGCGGGGUAACGGCCCACCUAGCCUGCGAUGGAUAGGGGUUCUGAGAGGAAGGUCCCCCACAUUGGAACUGAGACACGGUCCAAACUCCUACGGGAGGCAGCAGUGAGGAAUAUUGGUCAAUGGGCGAGAGCCUGAACCAGCCAAGUAGCGUGAAGGAUGAAGGUCCUACGGAUUGUAAACUUCUUUUAUAAGGGAAUAAAUGAGCCUACGUGUAGGUUUUUGCAUGUACCUUAUGAAUAAGCAUCGGCUAACUCCGUGCCAGCAGCCGCGGUAAUACGGAGGAUGCGAGCGUUAUCCGGAUUUAUUGGGUUUAAAGGGAGCGCAGACGGGAGAUUAAGUCAGCUGUGAAAGUUUGGGGCUCAACCUUAAAAUUGCAAUUGAUACUGGCGGACUUGAGUGCAGAUGAGGUAGGCGGAAUUCGUGGUGUAGCGGUGAAAUGCUUAGAUAUCACGAAGAACUCCGAUU
rnacentral:rRNA from 1 species